CAGCUCAGCAGAGUGUGAGAGUGUGGGCUCUGAAGCCCCAGUGCCUGGGUUCACGUCGUCCUCUGCCAUUUGUGCCAGGUUACGAUCUCUCUGGAGCGCCAGUUUCUCCACCCAUAAGAUGGGGAUGACGAGAGUUCCUGCCUCACGGAGUUGCUGAGCAAUCAAAGAAGUUAGUGCACAUGACACACUUAGAGCAACGCUGAGCACACAGCAAGUACUCAGUGACCAGAGAAGUCUACUCUUUCUCAGAUGCAGAGCCAAUAAUAUUCAUUGUGCCCUGUGACAAGGACAUGAUGAUCCCCAUUUGACAGCAGCCACCCCAUUUCCUGCUGCCCCAUAAGGAGGUCCUGGGAACGGGUAACGUUGCUUUGCUGACAAAUAACCUCUGGAGUAGCUUUCGGAACAAAAGACAUCACAGCACCAGGCCCACUGCCAGAUCUCUCAGACUGUCACCUCUCUGCCUGCUGGUGGGCACCAAAGAUGGCUCAGAAACCUGAAAUAUGCACAUCAUCUUUGACCCAGUAACUCUGCUUGGAGAAAUUUAUCCUGAAG
rnacentral:lncRNA from 1 species